CUCUGGAUAUCAGGUCUGAAGCUAGGAUUAUUGGGUGUAUCUGAAUGAAAAGAACUUGAUAACUGAAAAUGGAAAGUAGGAAGCUUGAUACUGCAAUAUUGCUCGACAGGAAACACUACUAAUUCUGUCUCGAGCGAUGUGAGUUCUUGGAGCGCCUUUCCUGGAAAACACUCAUCAAUACUUUCAGCGGAAAAUCUCCAUCACAACCUAACAUCAAAAACAUCACAAAUGUACUUGAUAAUAACACUUUUGACUGUACAGCAUGUGGCUCUACUGGCUGAUGCCGUUCAAUUCAAGGAAAUCAAAAGAUGCAAAGGUGAAUCAGUGAUCUUGUCAUGUCCAUCACGAAUCGAUUACAUGAAAACCUUUGUAAGAUUCAACAGGAAAUUAGUAAAAGAAGGUCUGAAUCAAAAGUACAAGUAUAUCCAAAAUGGUGUACUUCUUGUGAAAAAUAUCAGCGAGAGUGAUGGAGGCAUAUAUAGAUAUCACUGCAAAUAUAAAACUAACUGUUCUAGAAGCCAAACGUGCGUAAUAUAUYUAAAMAUCAGUAAGAAAUGCGAAUCAAUGGUUGUUGACGAAGGGACGGCUAUCAAAAUGACUUGCAAAACAACAASAUUAUCAGACCCYAUCAAGGAAAUCRAAUGGUUCAAGAGUUCAACUACUACUAAAUUGAAAAUCASGUUGAACGCAAACACCACCGAGGAUCRACAAAACAAAAWAUAUCCAGAAAGRCUAGAUAUUUCAUGGGAUGUUUUGAAAAUAAUAGACGCRCGCAAAGAUGACGACGGGRCAUACUUCUGUAUCAUCACGUUUGACUUGAAAAAGAAUAGCUCUAGAACGCCKAGAAGCCAUUAUARAUAUCUCCUUCGCGUUAUAACAAGCCCGCGAGAGCAGCCUGCAACAGCAAGCUCUACUAUCAAAAAACAAUCGACAGACUAUCUAAAAACGUUUCCAGUGACCUCUCCAACAACGACCAUGAAGACCAUGACCGUAUCAUAUCUCCUUCGCGUUAUAACAAGCCAGCGAGAGCGGCCUGCAACAGCAAGCUCUACUUUCAAAAAACAAUCGACAGACGAGAGAUAUCUGAAAACCUUUUCAACUACCUCUCCAACAACGACCAUGAAGUCCAUGACCGAAUCAUCUUCCAAAAUAACGACUGCAACUACCUCUCCAACAACGACCAUGGAGCCCAUGACCUUAUCAUCUUCCAAAAUAACGACUACAACUACCUCUCCAACAACGACCAUGAAGUCCAUGACCUUAUCAUCUUCCAAAAUAACGACUGCAACUAUGAGAGCGUAUAAUAAUACGGGCAACAAUACGAUACGGGAAACACUGACUCCAUCUCAUGUAAGCUGCAGUCCCAGAGUCCCAGAGUUGUACAUGUACGUUGUUUCACCGAUCUUAAUACGGCUUAUGUAACGCUGACCUGCAUAUACAAAAAGAUCCUAACCCUAAAAGCCUGCUUUGAAAUAUUCUAGACAAUCAAGUGUAAAAAGAAAGCUGUUUAAAUACGCAUAUUAUGAAUGCCGAAAAACAACGUAAUGAUUUCUCCUCAAUUAUUUAUACACAGUAUAUAAGACACCAACAACAGUGAUUUCCACAACUUCCCGGAAUUCCGGGAAACUGCGAAYAAUUUCCGAGUACAAAGUCGAGUAACGCACCCACAAGGGGUAUUUCAUAGGAAUUUAUUAUAGACAAUAAAGAAAAUAGAACUUCAUACAGUAGUAGGUUUGUAUAUUUAGCCACAGCACUUUGGUAUUGAACGAUCACGGUCUUUUGAUCGUGGGUAAUAGCGGAAAAGAUCUGUUUCUAAUCAAACAUUUGCUAUCGAAUGUGUUGCGUGACUAAAUGAAUGUGUAAAAUAUCGGAAGUCAAAGAUAUUCUCAGAGAAUCAUUUAAAUCAGCGUUGACCAAUGUUCUAAAUAUAGCUUGAGUGAGUUUUAUGUAGCACAACCAAUUGGUUACUAGCACUGUAGUAUGAAACAUCGCAGCACUGUGUUAAGAAGCUCAUUGUAAAAGGAGGUCUUAACUUGAUCACAGUAAAGCACUAUGAGCGCUCUUAUAAUAAUACAAGAUCACAUGAAAUCUUUUAUCAUAAUCGUUUACGUGCUGGCCUCCGUCAGGGUAGGAGACCUGAACACUACACCUGAGCCGAUGAGCCUAAACCAAACGAAGAUGGUGGYCUGCAUCGGAGGAAGAGUGAAAUUACCUUCGCUUUCCCAAGAAAAUUGCACAGGAAAACCACUGCUUCUUGGCCCACAUGGAAAAAUUUCAAAAACCGARGGAAGAUUUACUAAGAAAGGAGACAGUUGGCAAAUUUCAGGAGUCCAGGCGUCAGACAGUGGUCAGUGGAAAAUACGCAGGUACUGCAACAACAUAGUAACGUUAACCGUGGAUCUUGAAAUUAACUGCCAGCACGUCUUGGCUGAAGCAGAAAGUACUCUCUCCUUGAAAUGCCCAAAGCCUUCGAUUCCUGUGGGUGCAACCAACAUCAAGAGGGAGAUGUAUUGUAAGCUGCCAAGGAAAGAARCCAUAGAAGUUCUAAAAGAUGGAAGGGUUACCGACAAAUCUAAGGAAAUGUUUGGCGGGAAGAGACUCACGGUUGGACCUGAUGGCCACAGUCUUAACAUCAGUAACAUCACAACUGACGAUGCAGGGAACUAUACGUGUCUGUGGCGCUGGGAGAAUCCCUCGAAAAAUCUUGGUUCCCGCAWGUUUACCUUUGAUAUGAAGGUAAUUGUUGUCGUGAGGCCACCAACCACGCCAAGCAAGUUCGCUAGUGCUUCGUCCCCAUCGACCAAUAGCAGCACUGUGACAGCUAYAGCUCCUAUUACAUCUGAUGUGCAGAGUUCAGUUACAAGGGACAAGCCAAGUAAUCUGAUCUUGGCUCUCCUACUGAUGAUCUUCUUCAUUGUCAUCAGGACUUGAAUGAUCCAGACUACCUUACAGCAAGAGGCGGCGUCCAAGGGACCUUCAGCUAAGGUGAUCAACCCAGAUCACAGAAGUMAAACACCCUACACGUUAGACGUUCAAGACGGUCCCUUCCCCAUUGUGGAGAUGAGCACGAGUCAAUCGAAAGAGACUGGCAAUGGGCCUUACGAAUUAAGUGCCUGCUCAUAAGUAAUAAAGGAGAGAAACUAACUCUGCAACUUCCACUCUGCGAUCGCUGUCAGGAGUGGCUAGAUAUAGUGCUUAAGUAUAAUAGUCAAUUGACAUUCCUUUGAAGUUUAACAUUCACUUUGAAGUAUUAUUAAUUUGCCUAUAAAAAUUGUCUUUAAUGCUGUAACAAGGAUUUUCAUAUCCAGUAAAAUGUGACAUAAUAAGUAACUGCAAGUUGUGAUUAAUAUGCUCUCAGAAAAAGAGAAAAGACUGUAACAUUAAUUUGUACAUAUUGCCUAAGUACUGCUAACAAGUAUYAAUUGGAUAAUGA